UACUGAAGGGUUGGUAGGGGACCAGAGAAUAGAGGAAGCAUUGUAGGUUCUAGAGUGGAGAAGGGACCAUCCAAAAUGGAGUUUGAAAGAGAAUUCUGGCCUUUGUGUUUAGAGUCUGGAAUUGUCAAGAGUCUGAAAGCACAGAAUAAGACUGCAGCUAGAGCAAUUUAGGCGCCAUAGUUUGUCAAAACAGGACUCUAGCCCUGAUCUGCUCUCUUCUGGGAGCAUCUGAUAGAACAAACAGAAACCCCUCUCCCACUGUUCUCCUGUGUCCAGAGUGGGAGGCAUAACUGCUUUGCCUCCAGUCAUCAUCUGGGGGCAUAUCUACUCUUCGAGGACCAGGGGUUCGGGACCCUGGAAAAGGAUCUGAAUUCCAAGCUGACCUCAGGGGUACAUGAAGACUGCUAGAUGAGACGGGAUCUCACUGUGUUGCUCAGGCUGGUCUCGAACUGCUGGACUCAAGUCAUCCUCCCAUCUUGGCCUCCCAAAGUGCUGGAAUUACAGUGGACAACCUUCAAUGCACUGGUACUUUGUACCCUGACCUCUACUGUGAUGAACACUCAACUUGGGCAAGAAAGUGAAAUUCUCCAAAGGAAUUAUUAAGAUAAGGACCAGCAGUACAAUGAGCUUUUCACUGUAUGUCUGACCUGAAAGAAGAAAAUCUUUUCAGAGGACUCCUCUCUCCCCUUCAGUCGCCAAGACAAUGAGAGCUCUUGCUACAGAAUACUCAUGGUCAUUUCUUCCCCU
rnacentral:antisense_RNA from 1 species